rnacentral:rRNA from 1 species
GGGUGACAGGUGGUGCAUGGUUGUCGUCAGCUCGUGUCGUGAGAUGUUGGGUUAAGUCCCGCAACGAGCGCAACCCUCGACCUUAGUUGCCAGCAUUCAGUUGGGCACUCUAAGGUGACUGCCGGCUAAAAGUCGGAGGAAGGUGGGGAUGACGUCAAAUCAUCAUGCCCCUUAUGACCUGGGCUACACACGUGCUACAAUGGGCGGUACAAAGGGCUGCGAACCCGCGAGGGGGAGCGAAUCCCAAAAAGCCGCUCUCAGUUCGGAUUGCAGGCUGCAACUCGCCUGCAUGAAGCCGGAAUCGCUAGUAAUCGCGGAUCAGCAUGCCGCGGUGAAUACGUUCCCGGGCCUU